ACUCCUACGGGAGGCAGCAGUGGGGAAUAUUGCACAAUGGGAAGGCCAUCCGAUGCAGCCAUGCCCGCGCUGUGUGAAGAAGGCCAAUUCGGGCUUUGGUUAAAGACACUUUCAGUAGGGAGGAAGGUAGUGUAGUUAACACCUGCAUUAUUUGACGUUACCUACAGAAGAAGCACCGGCUAACUCCGUGCCAGCAGCCGCGGUAAUACGGAGGGUGCGAGCGUUAAUCGGAAUUACUGGGCGUAAAGCGCAUGCAGGUGGUUUGUUAAGUCAGAUGUGAAAGCCCGGGCUCAAGCCUC
rnacentral:rRNA from 1 species